AACUCAUCAACCCUGUGAACAUACCUAAACGUUGCUUCGGCGGGAACAGACGGCCCCGUGAAACGGGCCGCCCCCGCCAGAGGACCCCUAACUCUGUUUCUAUAAUGUUUCUUCUGAGUAAAACAAGCAAAUAAAUUAAAACUUUCAACAACGGAUCUCUUGGCUCUGGCAUCGAUGAAGAACGCAGCGAAAUGCGAUAAGUAAUGUGAAUUGCAGAAUUCAGUGAAUCAUCGAAUCUUUGAACGCACAUUGCGCCCGCCAGUAUUCUGGCGGGCAUGCCUGUUCGAGCGUCAUUACAACCCUCAGGCCCCCGGGCCUGGCGUUGGGGAUCGGCGGAGCCCCCCGUGGGCACACGCCGUCCCCCAAAUGCAGUGGCGGUCCCGCCGCAGCUUCCAUCGCGUAGUAGCUAACACCUCGCGACUGGAGAGCGGCGCGGCCACGCCGUAAAACACCCAACUCUUCUGAAGUUGACCUCGAAUCAGGUAGGAAUACCCGCUGAACUUAAGCAUAUCAAA
rnacentral:rRNA from 1 species